rnacentral:rRNA from 1 species
UAGGGAAUCUUCGGCAAUGGGGGCAACCCUGACCGAGCAACGCCGCGUGAGUGAAGAAGGUUUUCGGAUCGUAAAGCUCUGUUGUAAGAGAAGAACGUGUGUGAGAGUGGAAAGUUCACACAGUGACGGUAACUUACCAGAAAGGGACGGCUAACUACGUGCCAGCAGCCGCGGUAAUACGUAGGUCCCGAGCGUUGUCCGGAUUUAUUGGGCGUAAAGCGAGCGCAGGCGGUUUAAUAAGUCUGAAGUUAAAGGCAGUGGCUUAACCAUUGUGCGCUUUGGAAACUGUUAAGCUUGAGUGCAGAAGGGGAGAGUGGAAUUCCAUGUGUGGCGGUGAAAUGCGUUGAUAGAUGGGGGAACACCGGUGGCGAAAGCGGCUCUCUGGUCUGUAACUGACGCUGAGGCUCGAAAGCGUGGGGAGCAAACAGG